rnacentral:lncRNA from 1 species
AUGCACACGCGUGUGCACACACAGGCACACGGACACACGGACACACGGACGUGGUGGGCUCUGUGCUGGCAGGGGCUGGGUGAGGGGCUGGGGGCUGCCCUGGGCGUCGAGCCGCAGCCCCGCGCCUUGCCGAUCGGCAAGGUCUUCCUAGCGAGGACAUCGAGCCCGGCAAUAAACCCAUUUUUGUGCCAUUUUCUUCAGGGAUUUCAGCUUAAAAUUAAUAAUGAUAAGAACAAGCAAGCAGAGCCCGAGGAAAUAAUUUUACCAGGACGAUGUGGGAGCUGCUCUGGUUGCAUCCCCCCUCUCAGGGACCUUCCUGUGGGGUGCCCGCAUGGGGCUGGGGCGGCCGCCGGGUGCCGCACCCCCCUCCUGCACCCCUGCGUCCCGUCCCCAGGCUCUGCUGAGCACAACGUCUGCACCCCGUGUUUGGAGGAGGCUGGGCAUGGGACAAAAUGGGAAUGGGGUCCCAGGGCCUUCCUGAGCCGUGCAAGGCAGUCUUUUGGGGGGAUGCAUGCUGUGCCCCCCCACGCACUUGGCGGGGAGCCUAGCCUGGCGUCUCUGUGUGCCCAUGUCCCCCUCCCGCGUCAUCUGAGGAAGCGCUGGCACCCUGACAGGAUCGAUACGGCCUCCGCCAGCCUCCCUGCUCCUCCCCUCCCUGGGAAGGGGAUGCUGUGCUUGGGGAGGGGCAGCCCCAGGGUGCCCAAACCUGACCCCAUCUCCGUCUGCUGCCCCUCUCACCCCACCGGCCACCGAGGGGAUUUGUUUUCUGCUGGUGGCCUCGGCACCGUGCUACCAAGGCCACACAUCUCCGUGUGCCCUUCCUCUUUCUCUCCUGCACGGCCGACCCUUCCCAAGGAGCAGGGCAGCGAUUCACCCCGCUCCCCACGAGCACACUUCGCCUUCACGUGGGCCCGCGCUCCCAAAUGCGCAGCCCGUUGCCCAGCAGAUCCCUUUUUCCCCAAAGCCACUGAUUUUUUCGGACACAACCAUAUGGAGCAGGAGAAGGCAAGGUUCCCUUGGGUGCCUUUUUGGGACAAAACCAGGAGCCUGCCACCGCCGGAGGUCCCCAGCCGGGUGGCCCAGGGCAGGGCAGUGCCGUGGCGGCACCGUCUCCUCCCUCCCAGUGUGCGCAGCCGGCCCGUGCACCAUGCCGUGUCUCAGCACCAGAUAUUUCCAUCCGCCUCGCCCCGGCGCAUGGGCAGUGCGACCUCGCGUCCUGCCCGGUGCCGCAGGUUGGAGCUUCUCAUUUGCUCCUCGGGAGCUGCAGCGUGGCCUCGGGCCAGCUCCCUGUUGCACGGCCGCUCUGGUUUCCGUUCCCAUCCGUCCUGCCAUCCUGCCCAUGGUUUUCUGCUCCCAGAGGGCACUCCCCAGUGCCCCGCGAUGGCUCUGGCUCGACACGGUCUGCCUUGA